GAGCGUUUGGUACCCUGAUCCACGCUAUAAAGCAUGUGUGAAACACAAACAAACCCUGGCUGAAACAAGUCCUGGACCUAUGUGAGUGGUGGGUCGAAGAUCCAGGACCAGGGCACCAGGUGUUGUGCUGCGGCAGCACGAGUCGAGUGGAACUUCUUUGCCCGUUGUAAACAAGUUAGCUCGCUAACGUCAUGUAGAAUGUGUGUCUUGCUAAUCGCACCCUUAAACGGUUAUUUUCAGGUCUUGAGAAAGCAACACGUAUUCUGUAGGAUUCUCACAAACGCUCCAGGAAACUGAAGAAUGUACCGAAGAGGGCACCUCAAAGAAUUUCCCACGAUUGGCUACCUCCUCCACCUUCUCAGAACCCCAGGCUACCUCCUCCACCUCCUCAGAACCCCAGGCUACCUCCUCCACCUCCUCAGAACCCCAGGCUACCUCCUCCACCUCCUCAGAACCCCAGGCUACCUCCUCCACCUCCUCAGAACCCCAGGCUACCUCCUCCACCUCCUCAGAACCCCAGGCUACCUCCUCCACCUCCUCAGAACCCCAGGCUACCUCCUCCACCUCCUCAGAACCCCAGGCUCAGAGCUCCAUCUGUCAGGCUGCCGCUCUAAGCGAGCCCCCUACCUCAUUGUCGGGGCCGUCGGGCCUUGUGUCUGUACUGGUGUCCAGCCUGCGUCAACGCCACGCCGUUACAGCCCACGUGUGCUCGCUGGAUGGCGCCGACUUUGUGGUCAGUAA
rnacentral:lncRNA from 1 species